GAUGAACGCUGGCGGCGUGCCUAAUACAUGCAAGUCGAGCGAUGAAGAUUGGUGCUUGCACCAAUUUGAAGAGCAGCGAACGGGUGAGUAACGCGUGGGUAAUCUGCCUUUGAGCGGGGGACAACUUUUGGAAACGAAUGCUAAUACCGCAUAACAACUUUAAACAUAAGUUUUAAGUUUGAAAGAUGCAAUUGCAUCACUCAAAGAUGAUCCCGCGUUGUAUUAGCUAGUUGGUGAGGUAAAGGCUCACCAAGGCGAUGAUACAUAACCGACCUGAGAGGGUGAUCGGCCACAUUGGGACUGAGACAAGGCCCAAACUCCUACGGGAGGCAGCAGUAAGGAAUCUUCGGCAAUGGACGGAAGUCUGAACGAGCAACGCCGCGUGAGUGAAGAAGGGUUUCGGAUCGGAAAAAUCUGUUGGUAGAGGAGAACGUAGGUGGGAGUGGAAAGCGCAUGAAGUGACGGUAACUACCCAGAAAGCGACGGCUAACUACGUG
rnacentral:rRNA from 1 species